UACAGAGGUCUCAAGCGUUGUUCGGAUUCAUUGGGCGUAAAGGGUGCGUAGGUGGCGUCGUAAGUCGGGUGUGAAAUUUCGGAGCUUAACUCCGAAACUGCAUUCGAUACUGCGGUGCUUGAGGACUGGAGAGGAGACUGGAAUUACGGUGUAGCAGUGAAAUGCGUAGAGAUCGUAAGGAAGACCAGUGGCGAAGGCGGGUCUCUGGACGAUUCCUGACACUGAGGCACGAAGGCCAGGGGAGCAAACGGG
rnacentral:rRNA from 1 species